rnacentral:pre_miRNA from 1 species
UUCAUACUCCCUCCGUCCGAAAAUACUUGUCAUCAAAAUGGAUAAAAAUGGAUGUAUCUAGAACUAAUAUACAUCUAGAUACAUCUCCUUUUAUUCAUUUUGAUGACAAGUAUUUCCGGAUGGAGGGAGUACUCA